AAAUCUUCAAUCCGGCUGCAACAUCUGUCACUCCAUUGAUCACCAAGGUUGAUUUGGCUGAUCUGGCUGGCUAGGCAGGUGUCCCCUUCCUCCCUCAUCACUCCAUGUGUGUUCCUUCUGAAGCUACACGCUUGGUCAGAGGAUGACCUUUCCUGACAGAGGAGGACCUUGAUCAACAGUAUAUGAGUAGCUUCAUUGCCCUGCCAGAACCUCCAAAUAAGCUUUCAAUGGGAGAGUAUAUUUUGUUUCAUUACCCCAAAUUGCUUAAACUUAGAACUCAUUUUUUUCUCCUGCAGUAUUUGUU
rfam:Sus scrofa isolate TJ Tabasco breed Duroc chromosome 9, whole genome shotgun sequence.